rnacentral:lncRNA from 1 species
GUGUUAAGCUACCAGAGCAAGUGAAGGAGCAAAGCCAGGUGGCGGCUGGAUCAGGCAGGUUCACGCUGUGGCUCCCCACAUGCGGGGUAAGCAGUGGCCCCUGUGGGGGUCAGAGAGCAUUUUUCUGGCCGCAGGGGUAAUGUUGCAGGGAGGGGUGCAGCUGCCUCUGCUGCACAGAAGUCUCUCUACAGGGGUUGGGGAGUAGCAGGCGGCAGUAAGCCCCACCAGCGCCCAUGCACUUGGCAAGGCCGGUCCCUCACCCGCAGGGUUCCGCUUGCAGCAGCUCGUUAGAAUCCAGGCAGUCCGCAUUCAGAACUCAAGACUGCCCCAUGCCAUAAGCCUUCCUGAAGGAGAGAACAACCAAUGCUUUCAAGCCACGCCCCUCCCAGUCUGCCCGUGAAGCAGGGGCGCCCAGCUCCUGCACCCGUGGCUGCAGCACAUUUCCCAGUCACUCCUUGGUUCUGCCCAAGGGGGUUUGUCCCCAUUCGGCAUUAUAUUGUGAACCCAGUUGGGAACUUCUGCCAACCUGUGACUGCUGUCUGAGUUAGCUGGCAGAUUUCUGCACAGUCCUCUGUGAGGUAGGGUCGGGAAUGUCUUCCCUCCAUCCUCACUGGAGCCUGGGAGUGCAUGCAAAGCCCGUCCCAAUGAUGCUUUUUCUCAUACAUUCCCCACUGCUCACUAAAAUCAGCUCCAUUGCUGGAUAGGGUUAAGUUCUUCCCUCAUGGGCCUCUAUUGCCAGAUUCCCAAGUGGGAGUGUAUGUUCCAGAGGCAAUUUAUUCCUCUUUCACUCUGGGGAACUUAGUUUUCCACUGGCUUAUGGUGUAGGCUGCAGCCCAGUGCUUCUUUCAAAGGGUCAGUGGCUUCUUUCAGUUCUCCUGUUAAGUUCCUGUGUUGCUUCUAGGAGAAAAGUUCACAGUGUGUGAGUCUCUACACACUAUCUUGUCUUUCCAAGUGGAAGAGGCAUGCUAACACUGCCUCCAAUCUGCCAUCUUGGGAGCAACAGAGUGAGAACUUGUCUCUUAAAAAAAAGGUGGGGAGGCCGGGCGCGGUGGCUCACGCCUGUAAUCCCAGCAUUUGGGAGGCCAAGGCAGGCAGAUUAUGAGGUCAGGAGUUCGAGGCCAGCCUGGCCAACAUGGUGAAACCCCAUCUCUACUAAAGAUAUAAAAAAUUAGCCGGGCGUGGUGACGCCCGCCUGUGAUCCCAGCUACUCAGGAGGCUGAGGCAGGAGAAUCGCUUGAACCUGGGAGGUGGAGGUUGCAGUGAGCAGAGAUAGCGCCAUUGCACUCCAGCCUGGGUGACAGGGUGAGACUCUGUCUCAAAAAAAAAAAAAAAAAAAAAAGUGGGAGGGGAAGCGGUCUUUUGUUUUAGAGAUAUCUGCUUUAAUAUGUAUGAACAAAUAUCAGUGAUUUGCUGACAAAAUGAUUUGUCAGUGAUUUACUUCAAAGUAAUCUAGUGAUGCAGGUAAGAGGGCUGAGGGAUAAUGAUGAAAGGAAAAUGGGAGGGGUUAUAGAUGAAACAAGUUUGGCCAUGAGCUGAUUAUUAUUGAAGCUAGGUGAUGCCUACAAGGGGAUCCAUACAUUAUUUUCUCUUUGCAAUACAAUCCUGACCUGGAGUAAGGUCAAAUUUCACAGGUUAAGGGAACAGCCACUCACAGGAUGCCUCUUACCCCAGAUACCAGCUGUUAUAUGUUCCAGGGUUCCUGAGCCACCGGUGCUUCUGACCAACUGACCACAAAUGCAGGGAUUCCCACUAACUCCUCAGGUUUAAUAAUGGACCAGAACAACUCACAGAAUGCAGGCACGCACUAUACUUAGGCUUAGUGUUUCAUUAUAAAAGACACAAACCAGGGACAUCCAAAUGAAAAGGUGCAGGGAGCAAAGUCUGGGAGGGUCCCAAAUUCAAAGCUUCUUUAUGCUCAGGACCUGUCAUCCUCCUGGCACACUGAUGUAUGAUUAUCAACCUGGAAGUUUCCCCUAGCUUUCAUGUCCAGAGUUUUUAUUUGGGUUUUAUUUUGUAGGCAUGAUUGGUUGAAUCAUUGGCAGUGUGAUCGAAUUCAGUCUCCAGCCCCCUGCUCCUUCCUGGGGGUCAGAGGUCAGAAGUCAGGCUGAUAUCCACAUUGCUCAAAGCCCCAACCCUCCAGUCACAUGGAUGGCUUUUGUGGCAUGUCCAGCCCCUAUCCUGAGUGAUAUCAUUAACAUAAAGUCAGGCAUGAUCUGAGGAUAUUAUUUCAUAGAAAUACAGCCUUCCACAAACGUUGGAACUGGUUAAAGAGUCUCUGUAAGACUGUAGUCCUUUCAUCUGGUACUGGAGCUUGAAGUCCAGAGGGCAGAGAGUUGGAAAGCGACAAUGGAUAUAAAGUGAGGAAGAUCAAGAAAAGACUGGAACCCACAGCAUGAACUAGAACCCAGCAGGACAAAUUGAAACUCAUGUCAGUUCAUAUUCCUUCUGGUGUUGAUAGUGGGGACCCAACCUCAUGGAACUAAACACACACACACCAGGCCCAGGAGUCAGGGAAGCUGAGGGAAAACCCAGUGGAAGGUAGAGCAGGCCCAGCUGCCGCUUCAUGCUGAUGAGGUGAGUCAGCAGAUCAGCAACAAUGUGUGUGAGCUACAAAAUGACUGCAGCUUCCCAUCUGCUUUCUGAAUCUCACAAGAAUCUCCCUCAUGGCCCACCAUAACCAGAAACAUACAAGAAACAAAAUUGUGGAAAACGUAGUUCAGCUUAGCCAAGUCAAUACAUUACAAGGCCACCACACCACACUUAAUAAAAAGUAAACAUUUGUAAAUCAAUCAACCAGUGCCUGGAAGUACUUAUUUAAGAGCCAAAUUAUUUCACAAAGUAAACUGAAACACACCUGGUGAAUCCCACCCACCACUGGAUACAUAUUUGCAUUGCCACCCAUUAUUCCUUCCCUCUUCUCCUGUAAGAGAAUACGAUCUCCUACCAAUUCUCCCUCCACCUUUUAUUCUCUCUCAGUAAUCAUGCUUCAUCAAUUAACUUCUGUCUCUGGCUGUUCUUUAUCUUCAGCUUCUUUUUUUUUAAGCUUCCCAUGAUUCUGUAAAUCCCUAUAGCAAAUAACUUUUUUUUCUCUUUUCCAUUACAGCCAAGUGUUGAGUACAAAAAGUCUAUUUAUGCUAUCGUUACUUCUAUAAUGUGAUUUUUCUGUAGUAUUUGAGAAUAUUCAAUUCUUCUGAAAUUAACAAGAGAAACAAACAAGUAGAACAAUAGGUGACACUCAUAAAACAUGUUGAGGAAUGAUAGCAAAUGUACUAAGUUAGAAAUCUUUUAGGUUAAACAUAAAUAGCAUAUACAGAACAUAUGUUUGGUAAGCAUAGAUUAAAAGAAUGGAAAUACCAAGUGUGCUACUUGUAGAUAGGAAAGGAUAGAAGGACCAAGUAAACCUAAAAUAUUAGUAAAAUCACAGAUCAUGUAUCCUCCUGAAUGACAGCUAUGUCAUAUUUAAAUCAGCUGCUGAAUCGUGACAGCUAUUCUUGCCCCAGGUGACCUCUGUCCAAGAUAUGCAGAUAAAUCCACAGCUCCUCAGCACUUCAUUGGUGAAUUUCAGUUGUGCACAGGCUCCUUGUCCUCCAUCUCUUUGAAAGAGGAAGCAUGUGUUGGCUUCAGGCACCUUCAAUUUGCUGAGUCUCCUUGCUCACCCUUGACUCUGGUCACUGCAUCAGACCAUGCCAUCAGUAGGAAAUUCUGAUGUGUCUUUGUAGGUGAGAGAGAUAGGAUAUGAACAUUGUGUGACUCAGGAUUUUUUUUGUAUGGCUCUUACAUCCAACUUGGAUCCUAUCCUUAGUGUGAUAACUUAUCUCAGUUUCCACUUGCUUCUUGCUUUGUGUUUAAAAUUUACACAUAGGCUGGACAUGGUGGCUCAAACUUGUAAUUCUAGCACUUUGGAAGGCUGAGGUGGGAGGACUGCUUGAGCCCAGGAGUUCAAGACCAGCCUGGGCAACAUAGCGAGACCUUGUCUCUAAAACAAAAAUAAAAACAAAAAAUUAGCUGAGCAUGCUAGUGUGUGCCUGUAGUCCUAGCUACUAGGGAGUUUGAGGUGGGAGGAUUGCUUAAGCCCAGGAGGAUGAGGCUGCAAUGAGCCAUGAUGACACCACUGCACUCCAGCCUGGGUGACAGAGCAAGACCCUGUCUCAAAAAAGAAAAGAAAACAUAAAUAAACCUUGUGAUUCCAGCGUCUUUGCAAUUUUCUCUCACCCUGUCUCUUUUAUGAACUCUAGAGCAGCCUGCCUGAUAGUGUACUUGGAGGUAGCAUGAACAACUUGUCCUGAUUUGUAGCUUUUGCACGCAAAUCCAGUAUCCUAGAAACCCCCUCAGUUCUGUGCAAAUGGGGACAAUUGGUCACCCUACUUGGAAGUAAUUAUUACAUCAAGUUCAUUUCCCACUGAAGCAGUCCCCUUACCUCUCCUUUUCUUCUUCAAUUAUUGUAAUCUGGUUUCUACUGACACAAAUUGCUAUGGGUUGAAUGUGUUCUCCAAAGUUCAUGUGUUGUAAACUUAAUCCCCAAUGCAAAAGUGUUGAGAGGUGGGACUUUUAAGAGGUAAUUAGGUCAUGAGAGCUCAGUCCUCAUGAAUGGAUUAAUGCCAUUAUUGUGGAAAUGGAUUUCUGAUAAAAGGAUAAGUUCAGCCCUCUUCCCAUCUCUCUCUCACAUGCUUUAUUGCCCUUCUGCCUUCCAUGAUGGGAUGAUGCAUCAAGAAGGCCCCCUUCAGAUAUAGGCCCUUCAAUCUUGGACUCCCCAGCCUCCAGAACUGUAAGAAAUAAAUUUCUGUUCUUUAUAAAUUAUCCAAUCUCAGAUAUUCUGUUAUAGCAGUACAAAAUGAACUAAGACAGCAUUCUACCAAAAAUGUUUUCACUGGGAGCACCAGUUACUUCCAUAUUGUCAAAACAAAUGGACACUUAUUUGAUUUCACUGAAGCAAUUAACACUUUUGUCACAUUUUCUUUCUUGAGAUUCUUUUCUCUUAGGUUCUACGACAUCUCUUGCAUUACCUAGAUGCUUUCUGGAUUUAAUGUGGACCAGUUGGAUACCAAGCAUCUGUAAUUCAAAAAGUUCAAAUAAGGGUUAUAGGCCUUAAAGGGGAGGUAAAUAGAGAGAUCAGAAUAGAAAGUUUAUUCAAAGGAAUAAUAACAGAGAACUUCCCAAACCUAGAGAAGAUAUCAAUAUUCAAGUACAAGAAAGUUAUAGAACACCAAGCAGAUUUAAUCCAAAUAAGACUACCUCAUGACAUUUAAUAAUCAGACUUCCAAAGGUCAAGGACAAAGAAAGGAUCCUAAAAGCAGCAAGAGAAAGAAACAAAUAACAUACAAUGGAGCUCCAAUACAUCUGGCAGCAGACUUCUCAGUGGAAACCUUACAGGCCAAGAAGGAGUGGUGUGACAUAUUUAAAGUGCUAAAGAAAAAAACCUUUUAUCCUAAAAUGGUAUGUCCAACAAAAAUAUACCUUAAACAUGAAGGGGAAAUAAAGACUCCUCCACUGUACCCCAGACAAAAAAAAAAGAGGCCAAGGGAUUUCAUCAAUGCUAGACCUGUCUUACAAGGAAUGCUAAAGGGAGUUUUUCAAUCUGAAAGAAAGGGACGUUAAUGAGCAAUAGGAAAUCAUCUGAAGGUUCAAAACUCACUGGUAAUAGUAAGAACACAGAAAACAACAGAAUAUUAUAACACUGUAAUUGUGGUGUGUAAACUAGUCAUAUCUUGAGUAGAAAGACUAAAAGAUGAGCCUAUCAAAAAUAGCCACAACAACUUUUCAAGACAUAGUACAAUAAGACAUAAAUAGAAACAACAAAAAGUUAAAAAGUAGGGGAUGGAGUUAAAGUGUAGAGUUUUUAUUAGUUUUCUCUUUGCUUAUUAGUUUGUUUAUGCAAUCACUAUUAUCAGCUUAAAAUAAUCAGUUAUAAGACUAGUUAUAUAUGCAGGCCUCAUGGUAACCUCAAAUAAAAAAACACACACAAAAAAUGAAAAGCAGAAAAUUAAAACAUACCACCAGAGAAAAUCACCUUUACUAAAAGAAAGACAGGAAGAAAGGAAAAAAGGAAGAGAAGACUAUGAAAUAACCAGAAGACAAACAACAAAAUGGCAGAAAUUCAUUCUUAACAUGGAAUGUAAAUGGACUAAAUUCUCCAAUCAAAAGAUACCGAGUGGCUGAAUAUUAAUAGAUCUUAAAAAACAAAACCCAAUGAUCUGUUGCUUACAAGGAACACACUUCAUAUAUAAAGUCGCACAUGGACUGAAAAUGAAGAGAUGGAAAAAGAUACUUUAUGCAAAUGGAAACCAGAAAAGAGCAGAGAUAAAAAAAGAGAUAUUACAACUAAUAUUGCAGAAAUUCAAAGGAUCAUUAGAGGUUACUAUGAGAAACUCUCUGCCAAUAAAUUGGAAAACCUAGAAGAAAUGGAUAAAUUCCUAGACACAUAAAACCUACUGAGAUUGAACCACGAAGAAAUCCAACAGCUGAACAGACCAAUAACAAGUGAUGAGAUCAAAGCCAUAAUAAAAAGUCUCCCAGUAAAGAAAAGCCUAGGACCUAAUGGCUUCACUCGUGAAUUUUACCAAACAUUUAAAGAACUAAUACCAGUCCUACUCAAACUAUUCUGAAAAAUAGGGGAGGAAAUAUCUCCAAACUCAUUCUACAAGGCCAUUAUUACCCUGACAGCAAAACUAGACAAAGAUACAUCAAAUAAAGAAAACCACAGGCCAAUAUCCCUGAUGAAUCUUGAUGCAGAAAUCCUCAAAAUAAUAUUAACAAACCAAAUUCAACAACACAUUGAAACUUCAUUCAUCAUGACCAAGUGGAAUUUAUCCCAGAGAUGCAAGGAUGGUUCAAAACAUGCAGAUCAAUCAAUAUGAUGCAUCAUAUCAACAGAAUAAAAACAAAAACCAUACGAUCCUUUCAACUGAUGCAGAAAGGCAUUUGACAAAAUUCAACAUCCCUUCAUGAUAAAACCCUAAAAAAAACUGGGUAUAGAAGUAACAUACCUCAAGAUAAUAAAAGCCAUAUAUGACAGGCCCACAGCUAGUGUCAUAGGCAAUGAGGAAAAACUGAAAGCCUUUACUCUAAGAUCUGAAACAAGACAAGGAUGCCCACUUUCACCACUGUUAUUCUACAUAGUACUGGAAGUCCUAGCUAGAAAAAUCAGAUAAAACACAGAAAUAAAGGGGAUCCAAAUUGGAAAGGAAGAGUUAAAUUAUCCUUGUUGGCAGAUAAUAGAAUCCUAUAUUUGGAAAAACCUAAAGACUCUACCAAAAAACUAUUAGAACUGAUGAACAGCCAGACACAGUGGCUCCCACCUGUAAUCCCAGCACUUUGGGAGGCCAAGGCAGGUGGAUCACCUAAGGUCAGGGGUUUGAGACCAGCCUGGCCAACAUGGUGAAACCCUGUCUCUACUAAAAAUACAAAAAUUAGCUGGCUGUGGUGGUGUGUGCCUGUAAUCCCGCCUACUUGGGAGGCUGAGGCAGGAGAAUUGCUUGAACCUGGGAGGUGGAGGCUGCAGUGAGCUGAGAUCGUGCUACUGCACUCUAGCCUAGACGACAGAGUAAGACUCUGUCUCAAAAACAAAAAAAAGAAAAAAGAACUGAUGAACAAAUUCAGUGAAGUUGCAGGAUACAAAAUCAACAUACAAAAAUCAGUAGCAUUUCUAUAUGUCAAUAUUGAACAAUCUGAAAAAGAAAUUAAGAAAGUAAUCCCAUUUAUAUCAGCUAAAAAUAAAAUAAAAUAUCUAGGAAUGAACUUAACCAAAGAAGUGAAAUGGGCAUGGUGGCUCAUCCCUAUAAUCCCAGCAAUUUGAGAGAACAAGGUGGGAGGAUCACUUGAGCCCAGGAGUUCAAGACCAGCCUGGAUAACAUAGCAAGACCUCAUCUCUACUAAAAGUAAAAAAGUUAGCUGGGUGUGGUGGUGCAUGCUUGUAGUCCCAGAUACUCAGGAGGCCGAGUUAGAAGGAUCACUUGAGCAAAGUAGUUUCAGAUUGCAGUGAGCUAUGAUAAUACUACUGCACUCCAUACUUCAGCCUGGGCAACAGAGAGAGACCACCUUGUCUCAAAAAAAAAAAAAAAAAAAAAAAGGAAGAAGAAGUGAAAGAGCUCUACGAUGAAAACUAUCAAGCAAUGAUGCAAGAAGUUGAAGACACACAAAAAAAUGGAAAGAUAUUUCAUGUUCUCGGAUUGGAAGAAUCAAUAUUGUUAAAAAUGUGCAUACUACCCAAAGCAAUCUACAGAUUCAAUGUAAUCUCUAUUAAAAUACCAAUGACGUUGUUCUCCAAAAUAGAAAAAAAAUCCUAAAAUUUACGUGAAACCACAAAAGUACCAGAGUAGCCAAAGCUAUCCUGAGCAAAAAGAAUAAAACUUGAGGAAUCACAUUACCUGACUUCAAAUUGUACUACAGAGCUAUAGUAAUCAAAACAGCACAGUAAUGGCAUGACAGACACAUAGACCAUGGAAAAGAAUAGAGAAUCCAGGCCAGGCACAGUGGCUCACACCUGUAAUCCCAGCACUUUGGGAGGCCGAGGCAGGCAGACCACGAGGUUAGGGAUUCGAGACCAGCCUGACCAACAUGGUGAAAUCCCGUCUCUACUAAAAAAAAAAAAAUACAAAAAUUAGCUGGGCGUGGUGGUGCACGCCUGUAAUCCCAGCUACUCAGGAGGCUGAGGCAGGAGAAUCGCUUGAACCUGGGAGGCAGAGGUUGCAGUGAGCCAAGAUUGCGCCAUUGCACUCCAGCCUGGCCUGGGCGACAGAGUGAGACUCCAUCUCAAAAAAAAAAAAAAAAAGAAUAGAGAAUCCAGAAAUAAAUCCAUGCAUCUAUAGUGAACUCGUUUUUGACAAAAGUGCCAGGAACACACAUUGGGAAAAGGACUGUCUCUUCAAUACAUGGUCCUGGGAAAACUGGAUAUCCAUAUGCAGAAGAAUGAAACUAGACUCUUAUCUCUCACCGUAUACAAAAAUCAAAUCAAGAUGGAGUAAACACUUAAAUUUAAGACCUCAAAUUAUGAAAACACUUUAAGAAAACAUUGAGGAAACUCUACAGGACAUUGGUCUGGGCAAAGAUUUCUUGAGUAAUGCUCCACAAGCACAGGCAACCAAAGCAAAAAUACACAAAUGGGAUCACUUCAAGUUCAAAAGCUUCUGCACAGCAAAGGAAACAACAAAGUGAAGAGACAACCCACAGAAUGGGAGAACGUAUUUGCAAGCUAUCCAUUUAACAAGGGAUUAAUAUCCAGAAUAUAUAAGGAGCUCACACAACUCAAUAGGAAAAAAAUCUAAUUAUUCAAUUUAAAAAUGGACAAAAUAUCUGAAUAGACAUUUCUUUAAAGAAUAUAUACAAGCCAGGUGCAGUGGCUCAUGCCUGUAAUCCCAGCACUUUGGGAGGCCGAGGUGAGGGGAUCACUUGAGGUCAGGAGUUUGAGACUGGCCUGAUCAACAUGGUGAAGCCCCAUCUCUACUAAAAACACAAAAGUUAUCCAGGCAUGGUGGCGCAUGCCUGUAAUCCCAGCUACUCGGGAGGCUAAGGAAGGAGAAUUGCUUGAACCCAGGAGGCAGAGGUUGCAGUGAGCCGAGAUCAUGCCACUGCACUCCAGCCUGGGUGACGGAAUGAGACUCUAUCUCAGAAAAAACAAAAAAAAAAGAUAUACAAAUAAUCAACAGGUAUAUGAAAAGGUGCUCUACAUCAUUGAUCAACAGAAAUGCAAAUCAAAACAGCAAUGAGAUAUCAAUCACCCAGCUAAAAUGGCUUCUAUCCAAAAGAUAAGCAAUAAUGAAUGCUGGAGAGGAUAUGGAGAAAAAGGAAACCUUGUACACUUUUGGUAGAAAUGUGUGUUAGUACAACCACUAUGGAGAAGAGUUUGGAGGCUCCUCAAAAGACUAAACAUAGAAUUACCACAAGAUCCAGCAAUCCCACUGCUAGGUAUAUGCCCAAAAGAAAGGGAAUCAGUAUAUCCGAGAAAUGUCUGACUCCCAUGUUUAUUGCAGCACUAUUCACAAUAGCCAAGAUCUGAAAGCAACCUAACUGUCCAUCAACAGAUGAAUGGAUAAAGAAAAUGUGGUAUGUAUACAUGGUGGAGAACUAUUCAGCCAUAAAAAAGAAAAAAGAGUUCCUGUCAUUUGCAACAACAUGGAUAGAACUGGAGAUCAUUAUAUUAAGUGAAAUAAGCCAGGCACAGAAAGACAAACUUCACAUGUUCUCACUCAUUUGUGGGAGAUAAAAAUUAAAACAAUUGAACUCAUGGAGAUAGAAGAAGGAUGGUUACCAGAGGCUAGGAAGGGUAGUCGGAGGCAGGGGAAAGUGGGGAUGGUUAACGGGUACAAAAAUAAAGUUAGAGAGAAUGAAUAAGAUCUAGUAUUUGGUAGCGUAACAGGGUGACUACAGUCAAUGAUAAUUUAUUGUACAUCUUUAAGUAGUUGAAAGAGUAUAGUUGGAAUGUUUGUAACACAAAGAAAUGCUAAAUGCUUGAGGUAAUGGAAACCCCAUUUACAUGGAUGUGAUUAUUAUGCAUUGCAUGCCUGUAUCAAAAUAUCUCAUAUAUGCCAUAAAUAUAUUUGCCUACUGUGGACCCACAAAAAUGAAAAAUUAAAAUUGAAAAAAAAAAUGUUUAAAACUGAACUCGUCAUUUUCUCCCCCAAAACUUUGUCCUGAACUCUCUAUCUC